UCAGAGGGGAAUAACCCGGCGAAAGUCGGACUAAUACCGCAUAAAACAGGGGCACCGCAUGGUGAUAUUUGUUAAAGAAAUUCGCUGAUAGAUGGGCAUGCGUUCCAUUAGGUAGUUGGUGAGGUAACGGCUCACCAAGCCGACGAUGGAUAGGGGAACUGAGAGGUUGGUCCCCCACACUGGUACUGAGACACGGACCAGACUCCUACGGGAGGCAGCAGUGAGGAAUAUUGGUCAAUGGGCGGGAGCCUGAACCAGCCAAGUCGCGUGGAAAAGGAAGAAGGAUCUAUGGUUCGUAAACUUCUUUUGCAGGGGAAUAAAGUGCAGGACGUGUCCUGUUUUGUAUGUACCCUGAGAAUAAGGAUCGGCUAACUCCGUGCCAGCCGCAGC
rnacentral:rRNA from 1 species